rnacentral:rRNA from 1 species
UACGUAGGGUGCGAGCGUUGUCCGGAAUUAUUGGGCGUAAAGGGCUCGUAGGCGGUUUGUCGCGUCGGGAGUGAAAACCAGGUGCUUAACACCUGGCUUGCUUUCGAUACGGGCAGACUAGAGGUAUUCAGGGGAGAACGGAAUUCCUGGUGUAGCGGUGAAAUGCGCAGAUAUCAGGAGGAACACCGGUGGCGAAGGCGGUUCUCUGGGCAUUACCUGACGCUGAGGAGCGAAAGUGUGGGGAGCGAACAGG